ACUUGGCUCUCGCCCUCCGGCCGGGAAGCAUGGGGCUUCCCAGGCUGGUCUGCGCCUUCUUGCUCGCCGCCUGCUGCUGCUGUCCUCGCGUCGCGGGUGUGCCCGGAGAGGCUGAGCAGCCUGCGCCUGAGCUGGUGGAGGUGGAAGUGGGCAGCACAGCCCUUCUGAAGUGCGGCCUCUCCCAGUCCCAAGGCAACCUCAGCCAUGUCGACUGGUUUUCUGAGAAGCGGACGCUCAUCUUCCGUGUGCGCCAGGGCCAGGGCCAGAGCGAACCUGGGGAGUACGAGCAGCGGCUCAGCCUCCAGGACAGAGGGGCUACUCUGGCCCUGACUCAAGUCACCCCCCAAGACGAGCGCAUCUUCUUGUGCCAGGGCAAGCGCCCUCGGUCCCAGGAGUACCGCAUCCAGCUCCGCGUCUACAAAGCUCCGGAGGAGCCAAACAUCCAGGUCAACCCCCUGGGCAUCCCUGUGAACAGUAA
rnacentral:sRNA from 1 species